rfam:Schistosoma haematobium scaffold325_34, whole genome shotgun sequence.
AUUCGGCUGACGAGCCUCAAAUAGAGUGAAACGCAUGUCCUGGAU